rnacentral:rRNA from 1 species
GAAACGGGUGGGCCCUCGAAUUCCGUGGCCCGGGGGAAUUCAGUCCGGACCCGAGGCGGCAGGCCGCGUCGGCGGAGGCGAUUGGUUCUCACGCCCCCCGGCCGGUGACUCCGCGUAGGUCUCCGGAUGCAAUCUCUCCCGUGGCGGAGGACGCCGCAGCCGAUUGGGUGGUCUUGAAGUUCGCACCGGCGCGCCGCGACAGGGGAGCGGCGUCGUCGUCCCGAGCCUCAGACGCAGCGUCAGACUAGACUAUAAACAUGUGCGAUAGGGGCGAAGGUGGCGUCGCCGAAAUUCCGGUCUGGAGCGUCGUGCGGACACCCGAUCGACAGAGAAGGGUUCUUAGUGAUGGGGGGGCGCGCCCGUCCGCCCCCCUACGCCGUGGCGAGUCCCCUCCGGCGUAAUUUAACCCGGUGUGCCCGCGUCGACAGGUGAUGCGUUCUGGCACGGGCCUUCGGGGCGGCGUACCCUGGCGCCGACGCGCGACGUGCGGUAAUCGCCGAUGCGCGCGGACGCGAAGGACGUCCCCCGGCCCUCGGAGGUGCAAAGGGCUCUCACGGCUGGCGGCGAGUAGGUCGGUCACCCACCCGACCCGUCUUGAAACACGGACCAAGGAGUCUAACGUGUGCGCGAGUCAGUGGGACUUGAACAGGCCCACGGGCGCAACGAAAGCGAAUUGAAUUUAGGUCGCGAUCCCCGGAUGAAAGGGCCGGAGGAGCAGCGGCGGCCCGUUCCCCCACUCGUGGGCGGGGCGGCGCCUGAGCGCACAGGUUGGUACCCGAAAGAUGGUGAACUAUACGCGUGCGGGUUGAGUCCAGGUGAAAACCUGGCGGAGGACCUGAGGGCCUCUGACGUGCAAAUCGACCCCGCGACCUACGCAUAGG